UCCUACGGGGCGCAGCAGUAGGGAAUUUUCGUCAAUGGGCGCAAGCCUGAACGAGCAAUGCCGCGUGAACGAGGAAGGUCUUCGGAUCGUAAAGUUCUGUUGAAGGGGAAAAAGAGCGGAGAGAGGAAAUGGUCUCCGAUUGAUAUUACCCUUCGAGGAAGUCACGGCUAACUACGUGCCAGCAGCCGCGGUAAUACGUAGGUGGCGAGCGUUAUCCGGAAUGAUUGGGCGUAAAGGGAGCGUAGGCGGCAAGGUAAGCCAGAAGUGAAAGCCCGCGGCUCAACUGCGGGACUGCUUUUGGAACU
rnacentral:rRNA from 1 species